CCUACGGGUGGCAGCAGUGAGGAAUAUUGGUCAAUGGACGAAAGUCUGAACCAGCCAUGUAGCGUGAAGGAUGACGGCCCUAUGGGUUGUAAACUUCUUUUAUAUGGGAGUAAAAGGUUACACGCGUGGGUUUUUGUAUGUACCGUAUGAAUAAGGAUCGGCUAACUCCGUGCCAGCAGCCGCGGUAAUACGGAGGAUUCGAGCGUUAUCCGGAUUUAUUGGGUUUAAAGGGUGCGUAGGUGGUCGGUUAAGUCAGUGGUGAAAUUUUGAGGCUCAACCGCAAAAUUGCAGUUGAAACUGGCAGGCUUGAGUACAGUAGAGGUGGGCGGAAUGCGUGGUGUAGCGGUGAAAUGCUUAGAGAUCACGCAGAACACCGAUUGCGAAGGCAGUUUAC
rnacentral:rRNA from 1 species